AGAAUCAACGCUGGCGGCGUGCCUCAGACAUGCAAGUCGUACGAUUAAAGCUCUCUUCGGAGAGUGCAUAAAGUGGCGUACGGGUGAGUAACACGUAAGUAAUCUACCUUUGAGUGGGGAAUAACAGUCGGAAACGACUGCUAAUACCGCAUAAUGCAGCGGCUCGACAUCGAGACAGUUGUUAAAGAAUUUAUUCGCUUAAAGAGGAGCUUGCGGCAGAUUAGCUAGUUGGUAAGGUAAUGGCUUACCAAGGCAACGAUCUGUAGCCGACCUGAGAGGGUGGUCGGUCACGACUGACACUGAAUAACGGGUCAGACUCCUACGGGAGGCAGCAGUCGGGAAUUUUGGGCAAUGGGCGAAAGCCUGACCCAGCAACGCCGCGUGAAGGAUGAAGUAUUUCGGUAUGUAAACUUCGUAAGAAUGGGAAGAUAAAUGACGGUACCAUUUGUAAGGUCCGGCUAACUACGUGCCAGCAGCCGC
rnacentral:rRNA from 1 species